AUAAAAUAUAAGAAUAUCCAUAUAUUUUUGGUGAUAUGGACCAAAAGUUUCUACAAGAAAACCGUAAAAUUUCUUUCUAUGGGUAAGUCAA
rnacentral:ncRNA from 1 species